rnacentral:rRNA from 1 species
AGCAGCCGCGGUAAUUCCAGCUCCAAUAGCGUAUAUUAAAGUUGUUGCAGUUAAAAAGCUCGUAGUUGAACUUCGGGGUUUACCCAUUGGUCAGGCUUAAUUGUCUGUACUGGUGAGAUAAAUCUCUACCUUCUGAGGAACUUUCAUGCCAUUUAUUUGGUGUGGGAGGAAAUCAGGACUGUUACUUUGAAAAAUUAGAGUGUUUAAAGCAGGCUAACGUCUGAAUACAUUAGCAUGGAAUAAUGAAAUAGGACGGACUGAUUCUAUUUCGUUGGUUUCUAGGAUCACCGUAAUGAUUAAUAGGGAUAGUUGGGGGCAUUAGUAUUCAAUUGUCAGAGGUGAAAUUCUUGGAUUUAUUGAAGACUAACUACUGCGAAAGCAUUUGCCAAGGAUGUUUUCAUUAAUCAAGAACGAAAGUUAGGGGAUCGAAGACGAUCAGAUACCGUCGUA